rnacentral:lncRNA from 1 species
AAGAAAGCUGAGCACUGAAGGAUUGAUGCUUUUGAACUGUGGUGUUGGAGAAGACUCUUGAGGGUCCCUUGGACUGCAAGGAGAUCCAACCAGUCCAUUCUGAAGGAGAUGAGCCCUGGGAUUUCUUUGGAAGGAAUGAUGCUAAAGCUGAAACCCCAGUACUUUGACCACCUCAUGCGAAGAGUUGACUCUGAUGCUGGGAGGGAUUGGGGGCAGGAGGAGAACGGGAUAACAGAGGAUGAGAUGGCUGGAUGCAUCACCAACUCGAUGGUCAUGAGUUUGUGUGAACUCCGGGAGAUGAUGAUGGACAGGGAGGCUUGGCAUGCUACGAUUUAUGGGGUUACAAAGAGUCAGACACGACUGAGCAACUGAACUGAACUGAACUGAUGCAUAUGACCUCAAAAUUGCAUUUCAUAUAUAUUUGUUCUACUCUGCUCUUCCUGCUCUGUACCCUGUCCCCAAUCCAAGUCAAGCCAUUUAAAAAGACUGAGCUAAGAAAUGUUCAGGAAUCCAGAUAUAUUACUCAUCAAUAGUUCAAUAACUGUAACAUAACUCUAAUCUAGAGCCUUCCUUCUCUUCUUUCCUACAGAAUUUGGCUUCUGAUCACAGAGAAAGCUUCCUCCAAAUUCUAACUCUAUAUGAUCCAAAGACCUUCUCCCCUUACCCAAUGUUUCCAAGGAAAAAGAUUAGAUUUAGACAUUGAAAAGGGGAAAACUGGCCCAUAAUACAUCACAAAUAUGGUAGUGGAAUAGAUUUAAGGAGAGAGACAUUCUUUGGUAAAAUAAUAUCUAAAAGCUUUGCUUGCAGGAAGGAAUGUAGGUUACCACGUGCAGCUGCAUGUGUGCUAAGUUGCUUCAGUCAUGUCUGACUUUCGACACUAUGGACUGAAGCCCACCGGGCUCUUAUGUCCAUGGGAUUCUGCAGGCAAGAACACUGGAGUGGGUUGCCAUGCCCUCCUCCAGGGGAUCUUCCUGACCCAGAAAUCACACCUGUGUCUCUUAUGUCUCCUGCGUUGGUGAUCUGGUUCUUUAACACUAGGGCCACCUGGGAAGCCCAUGUGCAGAUAAGCCUCCUUAUUUAUAGUCUGUUAACCUUUGUACGAAGGUUAGCAAAGGUUAAUCUUCUCACCACCUCUUAUUUUGUAAGAAGAUGUGGGAAGUAUACACAGAAGAACUGUACAAAAAAGAUCUUUGACCAAGAUAAUCAUGACCAAGAUAAUCACGAUGGUGUGAUCACUCA